UAAUACAGAGGGUGCAAGCGUUAAUCGGAAUUACUGGGCGUAAAGCGUGCGUAGACGGUUAUGUAAGUCAGAUGUGAAAGCCCCGGGCUCAACCUGGGAAUUGCAUUUGAGACUGCAUAGCUAGGGUGCGGAAGAGGGAAGCGGAAUUUCCGGUGUAGCGGUGAAAUGCGUAGAUAUCGGAAGGAACACCAGUGGCGAAAGCGGCUUCCUGGUCCAGCACCGACGUUCAGGCACGAAAGCGUGGGGAGCAAACAGGAUUAGAUACCCUGGUAGUCCACGCCGUAAACGAUGGAUACUAGCUGUUGGGCGCAAGUUCAGUGGCUAAGCGAAAGUGAUAAGUAUCCCACCUGGGGAGUACGUUCGCAAGAAUG
rnacentral:rRNA from 1 species